UAGGGAAUCUUCCACAAUGGACGCAAGUCUGAUGGAGCAACGCCGCGUGAGUGAAGAAGGCUUUCGGGUCGUAAAACUCUGUUAUUGAAGAAGAACGUGUGUGACAGUAACUGGUCAUGCAGUGACGGUAUUCAAUCAGAAAGUCACGGCUAACUACGUGCCAGCAGCCGCGGUAAUACGUAGGUGGCAAGCGUUGUCCGGAUUUAUUGGGCGUAAAGCGAGUGCAGGCGGUCUUUUAAGUCUGAUGUGAAAGCCUUCGGCUUAACCGAAGAAGGGCAUCGGAAACUGGGAGACUUGAGUGCAGAAGAGGAGAGUGGAACUCCAUGUGUAGCGGUGAAAUGCGUAGAUAUAUGGAAGAACACCAGUGGCGAAGGCGGCUCUCUGGUCUGUAACUGACGCUGAGGCUCGAAAGCGUGGGUAGCAAACAGGAUUAGAUACCCUGGUA
rnacentral:rRNA from 1 species